AAAUUGUAGCAUGAAGUUUAUAGAAAUUAUUUUAAACUCACAUUUAAUUUAAACCAGAAGUUGACAGUGGGUUGGUGUCCCGCAGUCCUCCUGCUUUCCCAGUCUCCGCCUGGGUCAGACAAGGUGUGGUUGGGACUUAGAGAAUGUCUACGGCGUGGCACCCAGACCUCCUAUACAAAGCCGACACAAGUCACAGCUCUGCCUUGAGCUAACUCAGAAGCGCCUCGAGGAAGAGUUGAGUCUUUACCAAGCUUACUUGGCCCUCUGGUUUUUCUGACCUGCUAAUUAGCAGCAGAGACUGAAAGAAUCCGUAGCUCACCCGGCCGGCUGUAAUGAAACAACCCAGCACUUGGGUUUGCUGCCUUCGGAAGACGCAGGGUAGCUGCGGAAACAGGAGCGUGUCGGGACGUCUCAUAGCACAAGCUCAUCCGUACAGUGUCGAUGAUUGCGUUGGCUGAGAUAUGAUGCCGCCUCAGGAAUUGACCCGAGUUGGGAGCAUCUGCCCCAGUGUCCUCCCAGCCUCCACCCUCCCCCACCACUCUCGUAUCUGUCAGUAACCGGAGAGGCCUGUGAGCAGGGCGUGCUCUCCAUGCCCGUUCACUACGGACUUAUGCUGCCUGGUGGUUCACUCUGCUCCCUCAAAACUCCUUUGUUUUCAAUAUUUUGCCCAAGUUCUCCUGUUUCUUCCACAUCAUUAUUCCAGUCAUGUGGAGCUUUGUAACUGGUCAUUUGCCUUCUUUCAUAAUUAGUGACGUAUGCGACGUAAAGCCACUAGAAAAGGCACAUCUUUUUAAUACUCAUUAUUUUCUACUGACUAGCCUUGGAGGUUGACUGUGCAAUGUUAUUUAAUGUUGUAAUUACUGUAAUAUCAGCACACAGGCCCCAUCUGCACACUCCUGAGAAAUAGAAAAUGUACUCAGAGCUUGUCAUUGAAAGGAAAGUAACGCUGUGGUCAGUGCUUGACAUUGGAAACCGCACUGGAAAGCUGCCGGUGGAGGGGAUGUCCUGGUCCACAGUGGCCUCCACACAAAGAUGCUCUUAUCUUCUGUACUGUACUGUGAUGUAGCUUUCUUCUGUAACAUUCUGUUCUAAAUGGUGUGUUUUCUUGCCUUAGGGAAGGGCGGUGUUAGCGGGGGGGGGGGAAGCAACAAAACAGAACUGUGUAGCCCCUUUUUAACCUGGUGUUCAUCCCAAGCAUUCGAUGCAGAUCUGCAUUCGCUCACUGGUGCACACUGAAACCUUACUUGAACAGGCCUCAUAAUAAAGCGUUUGUCUUUGGCUCUUUCUCGAGCUGUGAAUCACCUGUUUGCUGCUUGGAGAGCCCUCCGAGUGCGUUCUUCCCCGAGCUCUAAGUCCACUCGGCAAGCCAGGGAUGGGCCGUGUAGGUUCCCAGGAUGUUGUUAUGACAAGAAAGUUUGACCUUCCUAUGGGAACCCCCGUCAUUGACAUACUUUUCAGAACAGAAACUUUCUAUCCUCUGUUUUAUAUGUUCAUGAUAACAUUUUGAAGAGUCAGAGGGAUUUUAAUAUAUUUGCAUAAACACCUGGCUAUAUGAUAGCAGGAUUUCCUUGGCUCUGUGGAAAUAGUUUGUAUCACUUGUUAGAAAAUAGGACAUAGUAUUUUGUUUAACAACAGCAAAAAUAAAAAAAAAUAGC
rnacentral:lncRNA from 1 species